GUAGGCUAGAGCUACUCCUGUUUACAUAAUCCAUCCCCUAAGCACCUUCAAAGACAAAGGAAAACCAAGAAUAUUUCUGCCCCUGGGUAGUCACUGGCCCCCAGUGGAGUUCCCGCCAGCUGUAGCAUCCUGGGGCAGCUUUGGUCUGUAAAUGCAAAGUUAAAAACGUAGCAUGUUCAAGAAAACAAUGUAGAUUACUAUUGUAGAAAAAGCAAGCCACAUUCUAUUAAGUGCUCUCUCCUGGAAAUUAGCCAAGACCACAUCUACCUCCUACUGGUAAUGACCUCAGACACCUUUCUUGUAAGUGCUGAUCACCAGACUACGUGGAACCCAGGCUGGUUAAGGAAUUUCUAAAGUCUCAGGAGACAUUUAGACUUGGGAGUGUUAGAACAUGCAUGUGGAUUCUUGUUUGUUUGUUGCUUGCUUAGAAACUGUGCCAUGUGUACGGCUCCCAUCCACACCUACCCGCAUCCGCUUGAUGCCUGCGCGGGUCACCUGCUGGCAGUCGUACAGCUCCAGGCGCUCUAGGCCCUGGCAGUGCUCCAGGUGCUCCAGGGCCAUGUCGGUGAUGAGGAGGCAGUUGUCCAAUUCCAGUACUUGCAGCCUCUCCUGGCCACAGGAGCUAUUGCUCAGGUGCAGGAUUCCAUCAUCUGUGAUGAGCUCACAAUGGGACAGGCUCUGCAGCAGGGAGAGGACAACGUUUUUGCAGCACCCUCAUUCCAAUGCUAUGGCCUGGGAAAAGCAGGGAGCAGACGCGUAUCUACAGGGUCAAUACAAAGCCUGGGCCUUUUGGCCCUGGGACUACUGCAGCUGGGGAGUGGUUUCUCUCACUUCCUGAAUAUAAAAGCAAGUCAGAAUUGCCGGGGAUGGUCUGGUUCAAUCCUAAGCUCACCUCCACGUACAAUCUACAGCUACACUUGAACAACUUCCUCU